CAGUCGCCACGGUAAUACGGAGGGCGCGAGCGUUACCCGGAUUUACUGGGCGUAAAGGGCGUGUAGGCGGCCUGGGGCGUCCCAUGUGAAAGGCCACGGCUCAACCGUGGAGGAGCGUGGGAUACGCUCAGGCUAGAGGGUGGGAGAGGGUGGUGGAAUUCCCGGAGUAGCGGUGAAAUGCGCAGAUACCGGGAGGAACGCCGAUGGCGAAGGCAGCCACCUGGUCCACUUCUGACGCUGAGGCGCGAAAGCGUGGGGAGCAGACCGGAUUAGAUACCCGCGUAGUCCCUGUCUCUUAUAC
rnacentral:rRNA from 1 species